rnacentral:rRNA from 1 species
UACGAAGGGGGGCUAGCGUUGUUCGGAUUUACUGGGCGUAAAGCGCACGUAGGCGGAUCGAUCAGUCAGGGGUGAAAUCCCAGAGCUCAACUCUGGAACUGCCUUUGAUACUGUCGAUCUGGAGUAUGGAAGAGGUGAGUGGAAUUCCGAGUGUAGAGGUGAAAAUUCGUAGAUAUUCGGAGGAAACACCAGUGGCGAAGGCGGCUCACUGGUCCAUUACUGACGCUGAGGUGCGAAAGCGUGGGGGAGCAAAACAGG